rnacentral:rRNA from 1 species
AUUCGCGGCCUAUCAGCUUGUUGGUGAGGUAACGGCUCACCAAGGCGACGACGGGUAGCCGGCCUGAGAGGGUGACCGGCCACACUGGGACUGAGACACGGCCCAGACUCCUACGGGAGGCAGCAGUGGGGAAUAUUGCACAAUGGGCGCAAGCCUGAUGCAGCAACGCCGCGUGAGGGACGACGGCCUUCGGGUUGUAAACCUCUUUUAGUAGGGAAGAAGCGAAAGUGACGGUACCUGCAGAAAAAGCACCGGCUAACUACGUGCCAGCAGCCGCGGUAAUACGUAGGGUGCAAGCGUUGUCCGGAAUUAUUGGGCGUAAAGAGCUCGUAGGCGGUCUGUCGCGUCUGCUGUGAAAACCCGAGGCUCAACCUCGGGCCUGCAGUGGGUACGGGCAGACUAGAGUGCGGUAGGGGAGAUUGGAAUUCCUGGUGUAGCGGUGGAAUGCGCAGAUAUCAGGAGGAACACCGAUGGCGAAGGCAGAUCUCUGGGCCGUAACUGACGCUGAGGAGCGAAAGCGUGGGGAGCGAACAGGAUUAGAUACCCUGGUAGUCCACGCCGUAAACGUUGGGCGCUAGAUGUGGGGACCAUUCCACGGUUUCCGUGUCGCAGCUAACGCAUUAAGCGCCCCGC